rnacentral:tRNA from 1 species
GCCUGGCUGGCUCAGGCAAUAGAGCACGUGACUCUUGAUCUCAGGGUUGUGAGUUCGAGCCUCACACUGGGUG